rnacentral:rRNA from 1 species
GUGCAGGUCAGACCUCGUCACGCAUCAGACCUCUAAUCGGAAAAGACUACCCGCUGAGUUUAA